AUCGAAUAACCCCUGUAUAGAGCAGCUUUCUGCACGAAAGCAUUUAGCUUCUUUACAAGCGUAGCGCCACCUCUCUGUGAAAGAGAAAUGCAAUUCAGAAGCUUUUUGGCUGCGGCGUGAGUACCGUUGCGAUCUCACAACGUUGCAACAAACCAUCCAAAAUUUUUAGAAAAAGAUAGGCUGGCACUCAAAAACAAACCAGUGGAAAACGGACUAAAAAAAUGUAUAAGUCCAUCAUGCAUAUAAAACAGAAUGAGACAGCCUCAAUUUAGGUAGAUUUUUUAUGAAAAGAUGGGAAUUUCAAUAGCGUCCAGUGUUCAAGGUCACUGUUUGAAUGCAGAAUUUAGUUGGCAUGGGUUUUUUAAAUUUAUUCGAGUGGAGAUCGUGAACAAGUGCACAUCGGGAAAAAAACUGAGUAUUGAAAGUUAAUACCAAGUGAAGUUGAAUUGAACAUCUUAACAAGGUAGUGAUUAAAAUAAGUUCAAACGUUUUGAGAAUUAAUUAUUAAAUUAAUUUAGGUACGGCAGAGCCAAGUGAUAGGCAAAUAUUUAAAUUAAAUAGUGUUGCUAGUAGAAUAACACGUGCUAAAAAAAACAACUCACCGGUAAUGAGCUUGAAUUUCAAAUCAAUGUAGGCCCAAAAGAUCUCUAUCGGGAUUUAGCUGUUCUGGAAAGACAGGACGAGCUGGCUAAAACCGUAUUCGCUGGUAUAAUCCCCACUGCUCAACGUGGGUGCCAGUCUGGGACCAGAAAGUUGUUCGGAUACCCGUUAAACAUCCGAUAAGCAAUCCAGAAGGACCACCCUAAUCGCUUUCCCUCCUGACAAGCCACCCCACUCCCAUCCGGGGAAAUUCUGAGUGGAAGCGUUUGGGAGCAUCGUCUACUACCGCAUUACUAGAGACGGCCGCGCCACUGGUGGCCAACAUAGGAACCAGCAGUAUUCUCCAAGCGUUUCACUGCUCGACACGUCACACGGGUUGCCUACCUAAUAGCGCAACAUAAUCAGCCGAUCCGCUCGAUAGCCGAAUCUGCUGGAAUCGCCGACCAGGGGUCUGCAUCACGUUAGUGCACACGGAGCAGGAAUUGUGCAACACUACGCUCGUUCAGUUGGAUGUACGGUGCCCGCUGAUCGAAGCCCGUCUUCGUAUUCAAGUCCAAUAUCACCUGCCAGCCUUUCCGCCACCCGGCCAAGUCCCAUUGGUCGCUGCGUUACGACUACUACCACCACGCUCUUUCAGUUGGAUGAAUGGUGCCCGCUGAUCGAUGCCCUUCAUCACGCUCGUUUGAAUAUCAACCCGCCAUUCCGACUCGGGCCCAGUCCUAUUGGUCUCUGGGUUAACGAGUACCACGCCAUCUACCACGAUUUCACCACCAAGACGCUUCCCGCCACGCUGCUUCCGAUUGCUGCUGCCGAUCUUCUGCGCCAAAACAGGAUAACAGGUCAGAUCUGAUUUUUUUUUUAUGAACCAUAAUGAGCUCGAAGAACUUCAUGUAAAGCAAGUGACGUCACUUAGGUAAAUUUAAAAACUAGAAUAUAGAACAUGUUGAAUUCAGAA
rnacentral:lncRNA from 1 species